rnacentral:misc_RNA from 1 species
GAGAGAGAGAGAGAGAGAGAAGAGUGUUUAUCGCAGUCUAGAGAUAAUCUGAUCUAACUAUAAUCUGAAACCAAGCCACCCUAAUCUAAUGUAAUCUGAUAUUGAGAGAGGAAAUAGAGAAUUAAGAAAUAAGAGAAAUGUGAGGAGUGGGUUUUUGCGGCUUCACCAAAUCUAACCCCUACCCUCGCUGCUACCAUAACAACUUCAUCUCCUUCAUUCCGCAAGUAAAGAGCUACUGCUGCUACUUCACUCUCCUGUUACCACCAACCUUAAAGUCAAAGCUUGUAAUGGGGUCCGAACAGAAUAGGUUCCCUCAGCAGGAACGGAUCUGUGUAUUACGCCUACAUUUACUCUAAUGCCAAUGCUCGAUUUUCCCUAAUGUCCCCAUUCUUGUGGAUGCACGAGUCACGCUUUUGCACCUUUUGUUUUUCACUUCUUAAUUUCUUCCGGAAAAAUUGUGGAUGCAUCAGAUUAUCUUGGUAUGUAUGACCUAUACAGAUCUGAUGAGAAUGUCCCUCGGGAUCAUUUCUUUCCUUUUAGUUCGGCACUGUAGCCGUACAAUUUCAGUUUGAUUCUUGCUUUCUGUAUAGUUUGAUGUCCGUUUACAAUUUUCAUAAUCAGCAUUUUGUAUUCCAAUCAGCUUCCUACGCUAGCAAUUUAACCAUGCAAUUUACCUGGCAGUGAGUUGCGAGACUGAAUUUCUUCUCUGCGAUAAACCAUUCUUGUUUUAUAUGGAGAGAAGGUGAAGGGAGUGGUAAUUCUGUAACUAAUAGGAUAGUUGUAGAAUAGACCUCUUAUUAAGGGAACAUGCCAAUUGUACUCACAUAAGCUGGAGACCCAGUAUAAAUUUUUAUCUCCCGUGGAAAUGUUCAAUCAAUGGUUUAUCUGAAGCUACUAUUUGGUUUGGGAUUUAAAUUACAAAGAUGAUGUUGCUUUAAACUAGUGGAACUUCAAUAAGUUUCAUUGGCCAUUUUAUUAUUUAUUUAUUUAUGGCAUAUUCUCAAUUCUAGAUGCUUAUGGCAAUAAACCUUAAGGCUGCUGAUUUAACUUCAGUUACCUGUUUUACGAAAAAAAUGCUGCCCUUACAUCUUUGCUUGAGGUUCAAAAGUUUAAGACUAUCGAUGCAAAAGCUAGAAGGAGAAUCUUAUUUCCCCCCUUGCCUGAGAGGAGAACUGGAGUGCAUGGGAGGUAAAAUGAUGACUAGAUGUCUUAGAAUAAUGGGAUGCAUUUAUUGAUUUGAUUCAAUACCACAAAGAGUGUGGCCUUCGAAUAGGAUAAUGGAAUAGAAGGAAUAAUACUUGAUGAUGCAUAAUAAAUAUUAGUAUUAUUGUGAAUUUUCCCCCCUUUUCAUUAUGUUCUUAAUGAAUAAUAAUUUUAAACCUUCAAGUGCAACCAAGCAUGUAUGAAAUGAAGUGAGGGUAUUUCCACUGCAACAUUUGUACACACCUUUGCUCUUAAUAUGCAAGCAAGACACAUUCAUCAAUUUAUGCAUGUGUCUAACUUUGCAGCAUUUUCCUCUGAAAUAUGUUGUGUCUUGCUUCUUUGUGUGUUCUUAUGUGUGUUUGUGUCUAUACAUGCAUUUUGUGCGUGUAUUUGCACUUACGGCAUUUUCUCUAAACACGCUAGGCCCUGGUUUCUUUUUUAGCACUUCCACAAAGUUUCACUCCCUGUUGACUAACUUUCUUCUGCCAUAUAAAUAGCUGCAAGCCCAUGAAUUCUAGAUUCUGAAUUUAGCCUGAUAUUUGCAAGUUAAGUGAAGAUUUUCACACUAUGUGAAAAGGCCAUGCCAAGUUUGAAAAUGGGGAAGAUUUUAUUGGUGUUGGUCUAUAUAAUUCCAUUCUUAUUUGGUUUUGUUUUUGGUUAAUAAUGAGUUGUUAUAAUGCUUUACUGUAAUGGCAGCGUAAGAGAUGGGGAGGAUGCUGGGGUGCGUUUUCUUGUUUUGGCUUGCAGAAAGGUGGAAAACGUAUUGUGCCUGCAUCUCGUAUUCCUGAUGGUAAUGCAACAGCAGUGCAGCCAAAUGGAGCACAAGCUGGUGGUCUGACCAACCAAACUACGACACUAGCUCCAUCACUUUUAGCUCCGCCUUCUUCACCAGCAUCAUUUACUAAUUCGGCUCUCCCUUCAACGGCUCAGUCACCUAGUUGCUUCUUGUCUUUAUCAGCCAACUCGCCUGGUGGUCCUUCGUCCACAAUGUUUGCAACUGGGCCAUAUGCCCAUGAAACACAACUAGUUUCUCCUCCUGUUUUCUCAACCUUCACAACUGAGCCAUCUACUGCUCCUUUUACUCCCCCGCCAGAGUUAGCUCACUUAACUACGCCCUCUUCCCCAGACGUGCCUUUUGCUCAAUUCCUCUCAUCAUCUGCGAAUUUCAAAAGCACUGAGAAGACCAAUUACAUUGCUGCUGGUGAUCUUCAAGCUACAUAUUCGCUUUAUCCUGGAAGUCCUGCUAGCAGUCUCAUUUCACCAAUUUCUAGGGCCUCAGGUGACUGUUUAUCAUCAUCCUUUCAUGAACGAGAGUUCCCCCCUCAAUGGGAUCCUUCAGUCUCUCCCCAAAAUGGAAAAUAUUCAAGGAGUGGUUCUGGCAGGCUCUUUGGGCAUGACACAACUGGUGCCUCCUUGGUAUCUCAAGAUACAAAUUUCUUUUGUCCUGCGACAUUUGCACGAUUCUAUCUGGACCAUAAUCCACCAUUUCCUCAUACUGGUGGGAGGUUAAGUGUUUCCAAGGAUUCAGAUGUUUAUCCUGCUGGUGGAAAUGGCCAUCAGAACAGGCACAAUAGAAGUCCCAAGCAAGAUGUGGAAGAAUUAGAAGCUUACAGAGCAUCCUUUGGGUUCAGUGCUGAUGAAAUUAUCACUACUCAACAAUAUGUAGAAAUUUCUGAUGUAAUGGACGACUCAUUUACCAUGACUCCUUUUACUUCAACUAAACCUACCCGAGAAGAAAGUGAUGAAGCUGCAUCUAGGAGUGAAGGCCAAAAGGCACAGAUAAUACUGACAAACUUGCCAAGCAUUAAAUUGAAAUCAGAUACUAUAUGUGGCGAUGUACCAGUCUCUUGUGAUGGAAAUGAAGAUCCUAAAUCAAGAAAGCAGGCUGGAGAUAUCUCUGCGUCAAGUACACCUGGUAUGCAUGCUCGGAAAGAUGAUGAUAACAUAUUUUCAAAGAUGACAUCAUCCAAAAUCAGCAGGAGAUAUGAUCUGGGAGCAUCUUGCUCUGAUGCAGAAAUUGACUAUAGGAGGGGAAGAAGCUUAAGAGAAGGCAAAGGAGAUUUUGCGUGGCAUGACUAAAUUAGAGAAAAAGCAAGUCGUCAGUUGUUUCCCAUGUAUUAAGUUGCAGGUUUCUGUCAUACUCUUCUGUUUGGAGUUAUCUGUGAUAGGUGGAUGAUCUAACAUAUGAUCUAACGUAUUCUUCUCCUGUAUUUCCUCCUUUCCUGCUCUUUCAGGUGAACGUCUGAUUAUUUGUCAACUUUUUAUUUGGUAGUAUGAAUUGCUUGGGAGUAACGAAUUGCUCGACAUUGCAUUGUUAACUCAUUAAAGCAGCAUUCUUUUUUGACCUCGAAGAAAUAUGGUUUCAUUAGCCUUCAAAUUGGCAAAGAUUGUGAUACAAAGUGAUAUUGCAAACGAGGAUUGCUUCUAAAGGAAGUAUCAUAUAGGUGCUUCUGUACAAGAGAAUGAACAAGCCCUACGAAAAAAAUGAGAUUCAAAACCCUCGUUCUUGAUAAUGGGAUGAAGGAAGUUUCUGUCCUUUUGCAGUGAUGUUGAAUUUUGUAGAAUUUCAAGUGGGAAUUAUUUGCUAUUCCUGAUACUGAAUUGUCUACGAGGUUUUGGCGUUUUGCACUGCAAUUAUGUUAGUAUAUGCAUAUAGAGAGUAGUUGAUGAAAG